AAGAAUCCAUACCAUGGUUAAACCUUAAUGAUACUAUUAAACUCAAACUAGGAUCAUUCAUGAUCUAAUAGAAAUUGGGCAGCAUUUCCCCUAUUUCGUCAACUUCCACCAUUUUACAAAACAACUCCCAACAACCGCAAUAACAUCCAUAGUACGCCCAUAAUAUCAUAAUCAAGUAAUCACACUACAUUAGCCUUCAACAAUUCAUCCUUAUGCUGCUUCUUAUGCUCUUACUUUGGUGUUGAUUAUGCCUUACAUACUCAGUACAUUAUUCGUAUUGACGUCCUUUUGUUUGUGGAUGCUGCGUCAUGCCCGCAGGUGGACAGGGAGACAGCUUGAUCCAUAGCUUUCUUACUCAGGGACUACACAGAGGAGCUCCAAUUCAUCCGGAGCUACAACUUUUGCUGCGUUACAUGCCCGCAGGUACAGGCGCACUUGGUGAUACGCCGCCAGUCUAGGGCUCGGAUUCUGCUAUUCUGAAGAGCUCCUUCGAUCCGGAGCAAAUACUUUUGGUACACCCAGAUGAGUAGAAGCCAUUAUAGAAGAUGUUCCAGCGGAAUUGGCAAGCUCCAUUUGCUCCUGGAGUGUUGCCGAGUCAGAGUAUUCAUGCUAUGGUAUCUUGGUCGAUGUUAGAGACUUUGCAGACAGAGUCGUGGGUAUAGAAUGUCAGUCUUGUAAGCCGCUCCACCAGCCGAUGUGUCAUUAUGUAUUAUGUUACGGAUUCUUUAUGACUACGGAUUUACUUGCCUUGAGAACGAUGAAAAAAUGAUUCUGCAAGCCCUUAUUAUGUAUUUUAUUCUUAUUUGAUUUAAAGAGUC